rnacentral:rRNA from 1 species
UACGUAGGGUGCAAGCGUUGUCCGGAAUUAUUGGGCGUAAAGAGCUCGUAGGCGGUCUGUCGCGUCGGCUGUGAAAACUCGGGGCUCAACUCCGAGCUUGCAGUCGGAUACGGGCAGGCUAGAGUUCGGCAGGGGAGACUGGAAAUUCCUGGUGUAGCGGUGAAAUGCGCAGAUAUCAGGAGGAACACCGGUGGCGAAGGCGGGUCUCUGGGCCGAUACUGACGCUGAGGAGCGAAAGCGUGGGGAGCGAACAGG